rnacentral:rRNA from 1 species
GGACUACCAGGGUUUCUAAUCCUGUUUGAUCCCCACGCUUUCGUGCAUCAGUGUCAAUAUAUGUUUAGCCAGCUGCCUUCGCAAUCGGUGUUCUAUGUCAUAUCUAUGCAUUUCACCGCUACAUGACAUAUUCCGCUAACCUCAACAAUAUUCAAGAAGCAUAGUAUCAAUGGCAGUUCCCAAGUUAAGCUCGGGGAUUUCACCACUGACUUACACUCCCACCUACGCACCCUUUAAACCCAGUGAAUCCGGAUAACGCUUGCACCCUCCGUAUUACCGCGGCUGCUGGCAC